AAUUGUAAAAAGGAAAUCAUCAUUUCUUUCUUAUCACUCUCUGUCUCCCUACCCAGAACUUAUCUUCUCCUCCCUCUAUCUUGUUUUCAUUUUCAUCUCACAAAUAAUUCAGAGACUCUCUCUCUUUCCUUCCCUCAUUUCGGGUUCUCUCUCUCUCUGUCUCUCUAGGGAGAAGAACUUCCAUUAAAACUUUUGAAACAAGCUUAAGAAAAUAAUGCCACAAAGGAGGUUCAAGAAUCAAUCCCAAGUUUGUGCAAGACUUCCAAGAACAUGCAUGUAGAGUUUGAGCAUCCAAAGAGAAGAUUUUGAAGUAUUGUGAGCUAGGGGAGUUGGGUCCGAAACUUAUAAAGCUCCAAACACUAAGCUUGCACUAAGGAGAGAUGGUGCAUGAAAAUAAGUUUGGAUGGUGUGAUGGAUUCAUGUCAGUUUUGGCAUGUGUAUUGGGGAUGGAUUGAAUGGAUGGACUGCUAGAAGAUCGAGGAUGAAGUUUAUAUUUUUAGUCUUUUAAAUUUAUGUAUUUAUUUUUCCGCAUCUAGUGUUUGAACAAAUAAUUAUAGGUUUAUGUUUUCUUUAUGUUUUAUGUAAUAACAAUGGGAUCCCGUAUUUUGAAUUUUUAUAAUAAAGUUCUAUUAUUUUCUUGAA